AUCCCAUCGUAUUUACUUGUGGAAUGUUUCAUGAAGAAUGUGCAAGUUAAUGAAUUGUCUGAAAGGUGGGAAGCCGAGAAGUGACUGUUGAGAAUAAGAUUGAUGGCAAAGAAGGGCAGGCACCAGGCGGAAGUUCUGGGGGCGGCCACACUGUCUGCUCCCCCUGCCAGGCCAAGGCUGACCCUGUCCACCCAGCUCCAGCCCGUGAUCUGGGAUGUGGAACACUGCGAACUUGGUGAGGGGGAGUGUCUGUCCCUUGGAAUUUGGCUCAAGUGUGGCAGGAAGGACAGCUGGCCUUCCAGGGCCACAAUCCCAGGACUCGUGGUGGAGGUUCCGGGGGGUAGGACGCAGCCCCGUCUUCUGAAUCGGCCCAUUCGUCUGUCAUGGAUGGCUCCAGAUAAGUCUGCUUUGGUGGAGGAACUGUGGCCUAGUGACUGUGCAGUCAGAGGAGAACAAAAUGCUGAAUGUGACACAGCAGCACACGGGGCUUCUCCUCGGCGUCCAUGGCAUCGGGCUAUGGGAUAUCCUGUAAAUACUGACGAGGGCGCCCUGGGCAUGGCUCAUGCAUUGUCUUGACAAGACCGCCAUCCUAGCCGUGAACAGCCUGGCUCUCAGGUCACCACUGAGUCAUUCUAGAAUUCACCACUUCACAGAGCUACAGAGGACUCCUGAGGCCUUGAAGUUCCCCUAACUCCCUAAAGUAGGACCAGAAGCGGUCAGUGGACCAGGAGAAUGUGACGACACUGCCCCUUCCCAGGCCCACCCUCUUCCCGAGGGCAAUGGGAUAAAGCCGGUAAGCAAUUGGGCGUCUCGCAUUGAGCGGGGAGUUCAGCCUUGAGUGGGUUAUGUAAAUAGCCACCUCCCUGCAAGUCAGGUGCAAGCUCUGCUGCUAGCAUUCACCGCC
rnacentral:lncRNA from 1 species